rnacentral:rRNA from 1 species
AUGGACGCUGGCGGCGUGCCUCAUACAUGCAAGUCGCGCGAACAGACGAGGAGCUUGCUCCUCUGACGUUAGCGGCGGACGGGUGAGUAACACGUGGAUAACCUACCUAUAAGACUGGGAUAACUUCGGGAAACCGGAGCUAAUACCGGAUAAUAUAUUGAACCGCAUGGUUCAAUAGUGAAAGACGGUUUUGCUGUCACUUAUAGAUGGAUCCGCGCCGCAUUAGCUAGUUGGUAAGGUAACAGCUUACCAAGGCAACGAUGCGUAGCCGACCUGAGAGGGUGAUCGGCCACACUGGAACUGAGACACGGUCCAGACUCCUACGGGAGGCAGCAGUAGGGAAUCUUCCGCAAUGGGCGAAAGCCUGACGGAGCAACGCCGCGUGAGUGAUGAAGGUCUUCGGAUCGUAAAACUCUGUUAUUAGGGAAGAACAAAUGUGUAAGUAACUAUGCACGUCUUGACGGUACCUAAUCAGAAAGCCACGGCUAACUACGUG